AAAAUUCACAGUUCAAAGAAGUAUUUAUAAAGAACGAAAUUAUUGAACAGGUGAAUGAGGAAAGUCUGGAUCUGAAAUUAGAAGAAAGUAAUGAAUUUUACUAUGAUAAUAGUAGUCAAGAUGAAACAAGUGUGGAAAUACCGUCAAAAUCAAAUCUCUUAGCUGAAAAAUGUAAAGUUUUUGACCACAAUCUGAGUUUUAAUGUAUUAAGUACCACAGAUUAUUCUUUUUCACG